rnacentral:rRNA from 1 species
CACGUAGGGUGCGAGCGUUGUCCGGAAUUAUUGGGCGUAAAGAGCUCGUAGGCGGUGUGUCACGUCGUUCGUGAAAACCUGCAGCUUAACUGUGGGCGUGCGGUCGAUACGGGCAUCACUGGAGUUCGGCAGGGGAGACUGGAAUUCCUGGGUGUGAGCGGUGAAAUGCGCAGAUAUCAGGAAGAACACCCGUGGCUAAGGCGGCUCUCUAGUACGGUACUGGACGCUGAGACGCGAAAGCGUGGGGAGCGAACAGG